CGCAUCGUCACCAAUUGAUGCUAUCGCGCCCAGCGUGAAGGGCUGAGCCGCUAAUUACCGUCUGUGGUGGUCAAACGCUGGAUGACAACAACACCUGUAGGAGCACCGCGGAACAUCUGCCCUCUAGUGCCCGUGCUGAAGAGGAUUGAACUUUCUCCUGCAUCAUACUCUUCAUGCAAUCCAGAAUGGCAGCCCAGUUGAAAGGUGCGUGCCGUGUGCUGGAAACACACUCAUGAGCUAAUUCGAGGCAAAGUAAAGCUCUCAUCUGGGAUUGGUAAGAGUCUCUCCAAGCACCCCGAAGACUUCCAGCUCAUUCUUGAUUGCACAUGGCAGCCUCUGACCUGCACCGAAGGCACCCGCUGCCAUGGAAGAUUGAUGAUUAUCGAUGCAGAAACCCUUUGCUAAUUCAGCG